rnacentral:rRNA from 1 species
CGCCGCCGCGGUAAUACGGAGGGUGCAAGCGUUAAUCGGAAUUACUGGGCGUAAAGCGUGCGUAGGCGGUUCGUUAAGUCUGUUGUGAAAGCCCCGGGCUCAACCUGGGAACGGCAAUGGAUACUGGCGAGCUAGAGUGUGUCAGAGGAUGGUGGAAUUCCCGGUGUAGCGGUGAAAUGCGUAGAGAUCGGGAGGAACAUCAGUGGCGAAGGCAGCCUCCUGGGAUAAUACUGACGCUCAUGCACGAAAGCGUGGGGAGCAAACAGGAUUAGAUACCCCUGUAGUCCCUGUCUCUUAUACA